UACUUAUCCAGAAAGAUGGAGGGAAUUGACCCUGUGAAGUCUUGGCAACCAUCAGCAAUGAAAAGGUGCCAAAUUCAACUCGAAUAUUUCGAGAAAGAUAAGUU
rnacentral:ncRNA from 2 species